rnacentral:lncRNA from 1 species
AGUGGAUGUAGGAAAUGGGAUCCACAUGUGUGAGGUGAGGGAACGCCCCUAAUUGCAACGGGCAGCUGAGCAAACCUGACUGAAGGCUUCCAACUGCAAGGCUGACUGAAAACCUGCCCCUAAACAAACCCAAGAAGUUUAAUAGCUACUGUGGAGACUGCAAUUGGAUGCAAAUUUUGGGUCUGGCUUUUCAGAGAUGACACAGCAAGCCCCAGGUCAGAUGUAUGCCCAGUUCACAUCGGUCAGGAGAAGAGUGGGAGAGGAAAUUGUUAUCACAAUUGCAAAAGCCUGGCAGAAAAAUUAUUACAGCUGUUUUUAAGAAUGGGUUUCCCACAUCACCCAAUCUCAAGAGACCACCUUGAACACUGCUUGGAAGGAAAGCAGCACUGAAGACAGCCAACUGCAAAAUAACCUGAGUGGCUUCCUCAUCCCACUUUGUCAAGAGUUCUCUGAAAAAGGAAAUGAAGACUUACAGGUUCCUAACUUCACAAGUCCUUUAGAAACAGAAAUGGCUCACAAAGGGAAGCAGAUACCCAUGCAUUUUGGAGGUCAGCCUCCUUUACCAAGGCACAGAGAAGGGAGCUAACUGGCUUGGUGUGCUGUCACCAGGGGCAGAAGGCGAUGCUGGCAGAAGCACUGGCUGUGUGUGGCUGUCCACCUUCCUUACCCUGGGAGCAGAUCCAAAGAUCAUACACUGGGAAAAGCUUAAUGCGUUUUCAUGUGAAAAAUAACCACCUUAGGAAGUGGGCCACAGUCCCACAGGAUAUCCCAGCAUCUCAGCGCCAGGCAUUUCAGCUUGCUGUUGCUGUAGGGCAACCCUGCAAGGAUGGAAAAAUGGGUAGGUUUUGGGCAGACAGGCAGUGUGGGAUGUUUUGCUACAGGUCGGGAAACUUCCUGAGGCUGUUAGACAGGAGGUGCAGGUCAAGUGUGUUUGGAGGUGAGUGGGUGGUGUGAAUCCCCCUCUCCUGAAGAGUUUUCCUCAGACCAAGCUUGGCACAGCCCAGGGUAAGUAGGCCUCAUGCAGCUGAAGAGAGGUUUUGUUUGCUUUCUUGUUUGCUGGUGCAAGGCUUCUCAGAGAGGCUGCUACGAGAAGUCAGGCUGGUAUUUUAACUCGAGUCCAGAAGCAUCAGCCCUGACGCAGAUUGGAGUGGAAAGUUCUCCUCUUAGAAAAACUGAAAUAAGAGGGUGGUUUCGCUCUGUGUACUGCUUGGGCCAGGCAGCUAUCAUUACUGACUUUCAGUCCUCAGUUCAACACGCGCUUAGAGCUCUAGCUCAGAAAUUGCGUGUCCUCUUCCCAUGCAGAGAGGAAAAAGGCAGCUCAGGUCCUCCUGCAUUGCAUGCAUGGUGAGCAGCACAACAUCUUGCUGGCAGCUGCUAAGUGCUGCUCAGCGUGGGCUGCCUCUUAUGCAACACCUGGGCAGUCCCAGGUGCAGACAAACAGGGUUGUGAAGCACAGUGCUUGCAGAACUCUUCCCUCCUUCCUUGUGAAACUCCCUCCUCCAAGCUACUGAAAUCCUGGGAUAAUAAUUAACUAAGUUAAAACUUGCUCCGUAAUCGCAGCCAUGUGCACUUUGCUGGGUGCGUUCAAGUUAGAAAUGUUUGCAUUUUAAGGCUCUUUCUGCGUGAUGGUCUUGCAGCACUAUGCAUACAUUCACUCAUUUGUUUUCACGUUAUGCUUUGUGUUUUAUUUUCAGUUGGAGGGAUGACAAGCUUCUUUUCAGGGUGUCCCUUGAAAGACACACAGGAAAAUUAAUCGCGUUACCUUAAACUGGGAAUAUAAAAAGGAUUUAAAUUGAAGGUGUGGGGGCCUAUUCCUUCCAAGCAAGAGCACUAACCCCCAGGUUAAGCUCAAUAAAUGGGCAGGGCAUCAGGGGACCAGUCUGCUCGGAGAGGUGGUGAGACCUUCAUGGCCACGGGCAGUGGUGGACAGGUGCAGGGCUGUGUGACCACUGCUCAGAACGGUGACAGCACCCAAUGCAGCUGCUUGUGAUGGCUCUAAAGCAGUGACAUUACAGAAAUGAUUGAGCAGAGAAAAACCCAUCUUUCUUCUGAUCCAGACUGGAAAGUCCUGGUUUGGAGAACUGGACAAGCAGAUGACCUUGGGAAAAGCUGAGAGCUGGAGUGAGGGGGAGGGAAGGAAGCCAGACCUCCAGGGAAGGGGUGGUUCUGUUUCAAGCCCUCUGAACUUUGGUUUCUUACACUACAGCCUGAUAAAUGUAGCAGCAGUUAAGACUUUUGGCUCUGAUGUGAGGGCUUCAGAGAGCUGUGGCUGGCUCUUGGAGAUGAGGAGAGGCUGUGCAGCCUCUGCUCCUGUCCCAAAUAAAUAAAUUAAAGCUGUGGGGUAAAGCCAGCAGCUGUUUUUUAAACAGAUUAAGGGUCUUAGUAUCCUCCUUGCCUUUUAGUGCACUGAGCCUUGCUGGGGCAGGCAGGCAGCAGGGCCCACCAGCUGCACGUGGGGCCAGUUUAUUGCUAAACCUUGUGUCUUGGCCCUGUCUGGCCCAGUAGUGUUUCUGUGCUAUGUCUGGUAUGUUAAAUACCCAAGAGUCAAUAAAAACAGGGAGCCACUUCCUAAUGAUGAAGGGCUGCAGGAGGAGAAGAGCAAGAGUUAAACCAGCGUAGGAGUUAAAUCUUGAAGCGCAGGCCCCUCAUGCUGUGAGCUGCCGAACACAUGGGCUGCCCAUCCUACCUCUCCUUGCUGAGGGUAGAAAGGCUGAGGUGAGACACCUGCACCUUCACAAUUUCUACAGCGAAUUAAAGAGAAGGGUUCUGAAUCUGCUGGGGGGUAAGAGAGGCUUGCAGGGAGCCAGGAUACUAAGAGGAAGAGGAGGGUGUGGGAGGAAAUAGAGUUCAGACCUGUGUGUGCAAUAUAAGGAAGUAUGGGAAUAUCCCUGAGAGAUUAUCAGAGAGAUCUCCAGUUAGGAGCAAAGGGCACAGGCUGGACACAAAAAUGCUAGCUCAUGCAGUUCAGCACAUGAAAGUGGAUGAGUGAAUGAGCUCACAGGGAAGCUGGUGCAGGAGAACAGGAGCGACCCAAGGGAAGGGCUCAGUCUGGAAUGCAGGAAAGAGCGGGAAAAGGUGGAUGGUGCUGCUGGGUGGGAGCAGAAGGGAGGACAAAGGUGCUGAGGAGGUGGGCUGAUGGAGAGAACUGACCCUGCUAAUAACAGUAGGUGUGACUACAUUAAGAAAAAAUACCAAGGGAAUUCCUAAGGAAUCAGAGAAAUGUACUGCUGUGUGCUUGUCCUGGCUCUGAAGAACAGCAGGGAUGAGGGACCUUGUGGUGGGAAGUCCCCAGCAGCCCCAGGGAAGCAAUGUCCGUGGUGUGAAGGCAGCAGAAGCUGCGCUCCCAGGAGGGAAUAGAGUUGUGAUACCAUGGGAUAAACCAGAAGGAGAAUGUGCUAUGGGG